rnacentral:lncRNA from 1 species
AGGUCCGCAACUCCUUCUCCGGUCCUCUCUGCUCUCCUCUGCCUCAUCUCAUAACUACUUCUACUAAUUGUUGAUUGGGCUCGGUUGCUGUCAAAAUCAAGACAAUUGCAUUCAAGCACAACGCAGUACCUUAUUCAAGAAAGAGCAACACGCCUUAAAUACAAUACAGUAGGUGUAUCAACUAAAUCCCAUGGUCACACCUAAAAACUUAGGAAAAGUAUGUAGUCCAUGCCCCAAUUAUAAAUACUCUGUUCUCACCUUAAACUAUCACAAAAGAGACAAAUAAAAAUACAACUGCUAAUAUAAAUGCAGACCAGUGCACACCAUAUUAGGUGAAGAUUUCCAAAGACAAGCAACCAGAUCAGUUUAUUUUUUGCGGGUAAGCAACCAGAUCAGUUUAGUUGCACACAGCAUGCAUGUUCAUCCAACUACUUCCAUAAACAGUUGAAUUACGCUUUCAUAAACUCAUUCCCACCAAUCCAUCCAUUAUGAGUAAACAGCAACCACUACCCAAUUGCUUAUCAAGAAUGACCCAAAGCAACAAACUGAACAUAAUUUUAUUACCACACCGUUUUGAAAUCUUUUUCUUUUUUAAGCAAAUCAAGCCUGCUCCUUUUCUUUUUUGGUUAAAGCUAGGUCGGUGAGCUUGGAGAAGAAAAGCAAUUAAUAAAUUUACCCAAAAUAAAUUAUCUUCUUAUCUGCUUUAAUGGAACAUAGUAAGAAUGUGCCGUUGCUGUCUGUGUUAACAAGCAAGGUAAGCAAGAAAAGCAAUAUAUAAAUUUAAUUGUUGCGCCAUCGGCGCAAGAAGCCAAUUAGAAGAGAUAAUUAUAAUCUGUUAUAGUCAACAAGCAAGGUAAGCAAGAUUUCAGUAACCAGCAUUAAAGAGCCAAAUAACACAGUACAACUGCCGACCAAUGAUUUUGAUUUAAGAGAGAUCUCCUACCUCUUAGGCUAGGUUUGGUCAGACUGCACGUUCUUCUCAUCUCCAGUAACCACAACAUCAGCGUUCUCACCAUCCAGCUUAGUUUCCUAUUUUCAUGUGGGGAUGGUCAUCAGUGGAAGAAAUUUGUAACAGGGAAAAACAGUAGUUGAAUUUAACAGAAGCACUAACAUCUGCCUUGGAUAUAGGUCAAUAGCAUCUUCAGCUGAAGCACUUUCUCUAGUAUCGACAGAAGCCGACACAGGAACCUUGGCUUUGGAAGGUUAAGUGAACAGCUUGCGAUGGUCGUUCGUAGGGCAGGGUGAUUUGCUGCAUUAGAAUGCAAAAGCACAUAAGGCGUAAGCAAUCUAAAAGGAACUCCAACAAGCCCAAGAAAAACUAUGUGUUAGAAUUAAUUACAAGUAUGCACUACCGUACAUAGUCUCAAACCAGUGGAAGAAGACUUAACUAUACAUGUGCAGUUACUUAUGUAAGGCCCUGUUUGUUUGGGCUUAUACUUCAGAUUUUGCAGCUUUUACACUUUGGCUUAAAAAAUGCACAAGUUCUUUGAAAAUUGGUAAAAAAGGAUGACCAAAUAAAACUAAAAAGGAAUAAUCAGGGGAAUCAAAACCUUUAGCCGGUGUAGUUUCCUGACUGCUCUGAUGCUUUCUCUUGUAACAGCACCUUCAGGCCAAUUUAGACGUGUCCCUCGCCUAAAAUAUUUCUGAGCUGAUAAACUGCAUAUUCCAAGGAAUACAAUGACAUCUGAGUAUAAAUUAAAUGCAAGAAUAAACAGAGAAUUGGAUGCAGCACUCAAUAGCAUAUUAUUAACUUAAGUGUUGCUAUUUAAGCUUACAUAAUGAUGUACAGAGAUGUAUGGAAGUUCAAAACAGAUUUAUUCUUCAGUAUUUUUUAAAGAAAGUGGCAUUAGCAGAAACAACAUAAAAAAAUAUGUUUGGGAGAGCAUCCCCACAUGUUAAUAUGUUCUGGAGAAACAUCCCAGCAGAUGCUUGCCAAAUUUACCUUUACGAGCAACAUCUAUAAAUCAAUAACAGAAGAGAUGCAAGCCGAAACUACUUCUGAGUAGCAAACCAGUGAACAACUAUAAACCGUAGAACUUAGGGAACCACAGCCAAAAAAAAUGUGACUGCGCGUAAAAAUAAAAGAAAUAUUUCUUUGCAGGUAGGACGUGCCAGAGUUCUUCAAAACAUUUGAUGCAGAAGAUUUAGUGCAAAGGAGAAAGAUAUAUAUUUCACUCUCAAACAUAUAUAUAGCCAAAGGUUAUCCCAGCAUCAAAAGUUCCCACGUGUUGUGGGGGCCUGGGAAAGGGAAUUAUUAGGUUCUUAGGCAGCAUUUCCUGUUUGGUUUUUUAAGGAUACUGACUCAAGCCCCGGACUUCCAGGAUACAAGUGGAGAUACUGCCAUUCUCUUGAGAAACAAGCCCAAUAAAAAGGGCUUGGUUCCAAAAGUAAUCCUGGACCUCCAGGACACAGAUGGAGAUAAUUUGUUUGUUAAUGAUAGCUUAACGAGAAAUUAAAAAAUGAUAAUCAAAUUAAUGGUAUAAAUACGAACCUAGCCUCCCGUAUCAUGUGCUCUGGUACGGGUCCCAAAACCCUCUCCAUCAUUGCUAGGUGUUCCAGGUUCUCAUGUGUCUGAAACAAUGCCUCCCCUUAUAAAUGUUUAGGGUUAGGACCAUAUAUCAAGGUAAAAGAGGAAAGACAGGCAUCACAAGCAAUCUAACCGAGCAUAGCUCAACGAGGAUGCAACCAACACUCCAACCAACACUGGUAUACCCAAACCCCAAUCAGAUGAGUCAGAGAACUAUUGAAAAAGAAUACCAUCUCUAAAGAAGAAUGCAAUUCUAAAAAUGCUUGGAGAUUCUUGUUAGUCUUAAUAAACAGCCCUUUUCUCAAAGAAUUAUAUAAGAACACGCUUCACUUCAGAUCCAAGACAUGAUGUACUUUCUCCAAAUGGUGCUAGCUAACAACACCUUCAUACUCUAGAAAGAACCCAAGAGAAAUAAGCUCCAUGCACCACCCAGGUAAACCAGAAUGGAAACCACCAUAUACAUUUUCUAUGUAUCACAUAUACUCAUCAAAGAAAACCACCAUAUACCGGGUUCUUAUCAAUGCUAUUGUUUGCUAUCAAUAUAUCUAUUAAAACUCUCCUACCUGAUGAGAGGAAAAUGACACUACAGGAUGGGGUCUGAUGGCAUAAAGAAACCAUCAUGAUUGCACAGAUAGCAGCCCCUGAUUAAUGCGAAUAUGAGAGAGAAAUGGGAGCAGAGUGGGCUGUAAGUACAAAGAAAACUAACCUUAGGUAAGUUGCUCACUAAUGAUGCAGAAUCUAGAGGUACACACUGAUGAUGCAGAACCUGGAGGACACCUG